GAGUUACUAUUCACCCAAUUACUAAUCACUCUAUUAUUGUGCAUUCGGGUAUUUGGGUACAAUAUUAUUCCAUUAGGAGAUGUGCUAAUUUUUCAGACCGUUGGUUGAAUGAAUCAAUAUGGACCGCUGGUGGAAAGUUAUAAUAGUGAAUCAAUAUGGGUCGCUGGUUUAAAGUUUUAAUAGUAAAUUAGUAUCCGUCGCUUUAUGUUUUAAUAGUAAAUCGAUCUGGAUCGUUCGUUUAAAAGUAAAUCGAUCUGGACCGUUCAUGAAUUAGUUACUAUUCAUUCCAUUUUUCUAUAAAUAGAAGCUCAUUCCUUCAUUAUUUCUUAUGAAUUCACGGAAACUCUAGAGAGAGAAAUUAUAGAGAGAAAGAAGAAGAGUAUUCUGCUACUUCACUACUUUGAUAUCCAGUGUCUUUUACGGUAAGGGGUGUUAUUCUUUCUUAUUCUUGAAGAGAACUUCUGUUAUUACAUCCUUUAUUAUCCUGCUAGAAUAACCUGUAAAAGUGGCAUACCCUAUACAUAACCUAUAUACGUGGCAUACUCUAUACUUGGUGAAAUCCUUAUGUUAUUCCAUUUUUUAUUAUUCUGUUGGACUAACCUGUAAAAGUGGUAUACCCUAUACAUAACCUGUAUACGUGGUAUACCCUAUACUUGGUGAAAUCCUUAUGUUAUUCCAUUCUUUAUUAUUCUGUUGGAAUAACCUGUAUGCGCGAUUUACCCUAUACUUGGUGAAAUGACCUGUAUAUGCGGUUUACCCAAUACUUGGUGAUCUUCUUCUGUUAUUCCAUUCUUUAUUAUUAUGUUGGAAUAACCUAUUUAUGCGAAGUACCGCAUACUUGGUGAAUUCUUUUAUUAUUCCGUUCUUUAUUAUUCUGUCGGAAUAUCCUGUCGGUGUGAAUUUCACCUGACCUGCUUCCAUAAUUAUUAUUCCGUUCUUUAUUAUUCUGUCGGUGUGAAUUUCACCUGACCUGGUUCCAUAUUUAUUAUUCCGCAUUUAUUAUUCUGUUGGGAAUAACCUAUAUGUGCGGUCUCUAUCGCAUGCAUGGUGAAUCCUUCUGUUAUUCCAUUCUUUAUUAUUCUGUUGGGAAUAACCUAUAUGUGCGGUCUCUAUCGCAUGCAUGGUGAAUCCUUCUGUUAUUCCAUUCUUUAUUAUUCUGUUGGAAUAACUUAUCUAUGUGGAUUGCCACAUGCAUGGUGAAUGAUCAUUUGUAUUCAUUCCUUAUUAAAUUGUGGAAAUGAUUUAUAUACGUGGGUUAACGCAUGGCGGGUGAGAAUCCAUUUGCAGUUUCAUAUAUUCUUUAUUAUACUUAGUUGGUUUAAGUUUUGACUUCUAUACUCCAUAAAAUUAGUGGAAUAUCCUUGAUAUUUGCGCUUCAUUCAGUAUCUUUUCAUGGAAAUAUUCUUCUGAGCAUUUUUGACUUUUACUUUACAAAGAAGUAUCAUGUUGACAAUUUGGAUAUUAUUAGUUCCUGGAUAAAUUAAUUCUUGAACUUGUUUAAUUGAAUUCCUAUAACAUUGUCAUCAUCCCCAUGUUUAUAUUAUGUUGAAAGUCAUCUUUGGCUUACGUGCAUAGAUGGACUUAGUAUGAUUAUGACCAGGGAUCAUUCGGUAUAAUCAUGAACUAUGAUGUUAUAAGUGAUGUGGUAAAAGUCCUCAGUGGCCUGUAUUACAUUGAUGAACAGUUUUUGGUAUGAUUAUGACCAGGGAUUUUUUGGUAUAGUCAUGACCUUGGAUGAUUUAAUGAAUAUCCUUGGCUCGUAGUACAAGGGUGAUUAGAAGAUGUGGUUUAUUUAUUAAGUUGAGUCUCAACGAUAAAAGUUGAUGAAAACAUUUUUAAAUCAUAGAAGAUAGUAGGUUUUAUUCUCUAUUUGACUCUUCUAAUGGAAUGCUUAUUCCGCUGCAGUUAAACUUGAUGUUUAUUAUAUUUUAUCAGUUUAACAUUGUUGAAGACUAAUGAUAAUUUAUUUUGCAUUAUCUUAGUCAUAAUAUUUCUUACUGGGCUAGUUGAGCUCACCCUUUCUUUCACUGUUCUCUUCAGGAAAUGAGAAUAUAGCAGGGACUAGUCGGGGGACGGAGUGAUGGUCCAGAUGAUAGUAUUAGUAGUCCUCACUAUUCUGUUAAAUAGUGUGACAAUAAAUGUAAAGAGGACUGAAUUUGAGUUUGUAUACUAUCUAUAAGGACUCCAUUGAGAAUGGAUAUUGUCUAGAAGACAAUAUUUGUAUUUAAACUCAUAACAUAUGUUUUGUCGUAUUUUACACGACUAUUGUAUUAUUAGUUUGUAUUUGAAUUUUGUACCAUGUAUUUGGCAACUAAAGAUGGGUGAUGUAUACCUAAUUUUGGGGGCGUCACAAUUGGUAUCAAAGCUUAGGGAUAUGAUCCCUGGCUAAGAUGUGAGAUAAGAACUAGGAGGGGAAAGACGGGGAAUUCCUUCGCUAGUAUGACCUACCUAAGUUUAUUUGGUAUUUAAUUGGUCAGUCAGUGUAUAAGGAUAAUAUGUGACAUGUUAAUUAACCCUUGUUUUGUGACAGUGUUUGAGAAUGGCAUCUGAAAAUGCUGAGAUAAGCAAUGAAGCACAUGAGAAUGUUGAUUCAGCUCAAGCGAAAGGUAACGACCAACAACACGAUAAUAAUCAUACUGAUGGAAAACCCCCUCUAUCCUGGGAACUGCCUGGUUGUCAGUAUUGUGAUUCUGUAAUAUUAUUUGUGAAUAAUUAAUUAUUGAUUUAUAUGAUGAGAAAAAUAUUGAUUUUAUAUGGAUAUAGAUGGAGAAAAUUUUUAAUGUGACAAUUGUUGAAAAUUAAUAUUUUAC
rnacentral:lncRNA from 1 species